UUCCUUUCCCUCUUAAUUUCUUGGAGUAUACAGAGACUAAUUUUUAGUUUUCUUUUUCUUUUUCACAAGCAAAAAUUAAAAUUGCAAUUACGAGGCUUUUAUUUGAUAAGGAAUUCGAGUUUGGUGAAGGGCUUGUCUGGAUUUUUCUUUUUCAUAACCCUAGACGCGCAUCUUAAACCUUUCCUUGAGGCACUUCUUGCCCUUGAGAUCGACGUCAAGCGUGUAGCGUGUAGCGCCUAGCAUCUUGGGCCUUUCCAUUUGUGCUGAUGAUGGCUUUCACAACCUGAAGGAGAUUAGAAUCGUGGAAAUCGUGAAACCAGUUGGUUGGGUUUAUAUAUCGUUGGCUGGAUUCGAUCGUCGGAAAAAAUUAUUCACAGGAACUAAAGGUGGGGCACGCCAAAGCUAGGACUGGAACUCACCAAUAGUAGAGUUGCAAUUUGCAUCACUAUAGUAUGUAACCUUGCUUGGUCAUGUUGCACCAGUGCAUUGUGU